rnacentral:rRNA from 1 species
ACUGCUAUCGGAUUGAUACUAAGCCAUGCGAGUCAUUGUAGUAAUACAAGGCAGACGGCUCAGUAACGCGUAGUCAACCUACCCUAUGGACGGGAAUAACCUCGGGAAACUGAGAAUAAUGCCCGAUAGAACAUUAUGCCUGGAAUGGUUUAUGUUCCAAAUGAUUUAUCGCCGUAGGAUGGGACUGCGUCCUAUCAGUUUGUUGGUGAGGUAAUGGCCCACCAAGACUAUUACAGGUACGGGCUCUGAGAGGAGUGGCCCGGAGAUGGGUACUGAGACACGGACCCAGGCCCUAUGGGGCGCAGCAGGCGAGAAAACUUUGCAAUGUGCGAAAGCACGACAAGGUUAAUCCGAGUGGUUUCUGCUAAAGGAACCUUUUGUCGGUCCUAGAAACACCGAUGAAUAAGGGGUGGGCAAGUUCUGGUGUCAGCCGCCGCGGUAAAACCAGCACCUCAAGUUGUCAGGAUGAUUAUUGGGCCUAAAGCAUCCGUAGCCGGCUCUGUUAGUUUUCGGUUAAAUCUAUACGCUCAACGUAUAGGCUGCCGGGAAUACUGCAGAGCUAGGGAGUGGGAGAGGUAGACGGUACUCGGUAGGAAGGGGUAAAAUCCUUUGAUCUAUUGAUGACCACCUGUGGCGAAGGCGGUCUACCAGAACACGUCCGACGGUGAGGGAUGAAAGCUGGGGGAGCAAACCGGAUUAGAUACCCGGGUAGUCCCAGCUAUAAACUAUGCAAACUCAGUGAUGCAUUGGCUUGUGGCCAAUGCAGUGCUGCAGGGAAGCCGUUAAGUUUGCCGCCUGGGAAGUACGUACGCAAGUAUGAAACUUAAAGGAAUUGGCGGGGGAGCACCACAAGGGGUGAAG